rnacentral:rRNA from 1 species
UGGGGAAUUUUGGACAAUGGGGGCAACCCUGAUCCAGCAAUGCCGCGUGAGUGAAGAAGGCCUUCGGGUUGUAAAGCUCUUUUGUCAGGGAAGAAACGGGAUGUCCUAAUACGGUGUCCUAAUGACGGUACCUGAAGAAUAAGCACCGGCUAACUACGUG